rnacentral:lncRNA from 1 species
CCUUGAGCACCAUGGGGAGAACGGAGGCGCUGGCUAGCUGCAUGGCGAAGAGGCUGGCUUCUUCGUCGGAGACUUGGGUUGGAGUCAUCUGAGUCUCUCUGGUUGAAUCCAUUUUAUUGAUUUUGGUAUUGGGUUGGUCGGUUGAGAGAGACAGAGAGUAGCGAGGGGGGAGGAGAAGGCUGUGCUAAGUGGCAAUAUAUAUUGAUUUCUUUGCUCACUCACCACCAUUGAUGUGGUAGUACCAAGGCGUUCACCACCCAUGCAGGCCCCGACAUGUAAGGCCGGCCUUGAGGGUAGCCGAAGUAGGUGCCUGCCUAAGGCUUUCACUUUGCAGGGGCCCCAGAUUUUAAAAAAUAUAUAUAAAAAUAAAUUUUACAAUUAAAAUUCAAUAAAAAUAUCAAAAAAUAAUAUCAUAGGCUAUUGAAAAAGAAUUGGUUGAAAAUCAGAUUAUGUAAACUUAAUUAGUAUGACAUAUUUUGAGGAAAAUUCCUUAUGAGGAUUUGUAGGGGACCUCUCUAGCUUUCAAAAGAGACUCAAAAGAGACAUUUUGGGACCAAAUCGAAGUUGAUUUGGUCGGUCAAAAGUCUGAUUUUCUGAUAAGUCUGAAUUUAAGUUUAAAUAGAAACUUUUUAUUUCAAUUUUAUUCUAAGACUUUUUAGGGUUUUAUUUUGUAGUAGUAUAAAUAAGACUUUUUAGCCAUUAGAGUUAGAAGGGAAGGAGAGGAGGAAACGCAUGCAUACUUUAGAGAGUUUUUUAAGUAUAUUUUCUAGGUGUUUUCUAUCCUUAUUCUUAAUAAUAUUUUGUUUUAUGAUUGUUCGCAGGUAGUUUCUUUUGCUAAGACGAAGCCACAAGCUUUAGCAUGAAUAUAUGUGAUUUUAUUAAUUAGCUUAUGAAUGAAUGCAUGUUUGCUUUGAAUUAUUAAUAUACCAUGAUUAAACUAUCUAAUUGUCUUAGUGAUUCGCGACCAUUAGGGUUUUUAGACAAAUAAUUUGAUGCAAUUUUUGUUGAAAUAUCACCUUGAAAUUGAGGAGGGCUUCUUGUGAUUACUAAUUGUAAGUUCACUUAAGGCGAACAUCACGUUCUUAAGGGUUGCAUGGUUUUUCAAAGGGUUUUCACAAAGCUUAAUGAGUCUUGCAUGUUUAUAUUUGAUAUACAUCAUAGACGGAUUGCAAGUUAGAUAUACGUUUUCGCUUGAACAUCACGAGGAAAAUAUGCAUUAGGAAAACCUAACAUUCAAAGCAUGUAUGUAGAAAUUCAUAAGUAAUUGGUAAAAUUGCAUAGGAUUGUUAAGGGGACGGCGGAAUCCUAGACUUUUACAAUUUGAUUUUCAAAACGUUUUUCUUUUGCUUUCUUUACUUUGUCAAAUAUUUAAUUAUUUUUAUUUAAAUUCGUUUUUAUUAUUUUAAAUUCCAAAAUCAACCUUUUCAAAACUUUGUUCUAAAUAAUUAGCUAAGAAUUAGUUUAAAUACAAAUUAUUCAUUCAAUUCAUGUGGAAAACGAUAUUGCUUGAGCCGCUAUACUACGACAAUCUUGUACUCUUGCAAUUAUUUUUAAGUGUUUUUAUCCCUACUUGUGUAGGUGGUAAAAAUCCUAUCAAAAAUCAUAAAUUUUCUCUCAGAAAUUCAAGAAACGAAAAUUCUUUGUCUGUUUUUAUAUGUUGUGGAGACCCAAUCUGACUUGUGUGUUCUUCCAGGUCGAUCUCGGCCGAGGGUUUUAGACCUCUUUAUUUUUCCAUAUUUUCGGAUUAUUCCCUCAUAAUUAGGGAAUUAAAUUGUUCCUAUUAUUCGGUAAAAUCUAAAACGAUUUGCAGCUUUGAUUUGGCCUUUGCAUGUUUGUGGUAUUUGAAAUUAUGGUUUUUUUUGGGGAUUGGAUUUUGGGAUUUAAGUUGAAUUCGUAUGGGUAUUUUUUCAGAAAUUUUUGUUGUUUCCGUGUUGGAAUUAAAAGAACUAUUCAUGUUGGAUUUUUACAUAAGUGUGUCUCAGCUGUUGUUUUCGUUUUGUUGUGUGAUUUUUAUGUGGUGUUUAUAUGUGCAGGCGCUUGUGUUAGUAUUUUGUGUUUUUAUUUUUGUCCCAGCUGCUGAACUUCAUUUUCAAUUUCGUUUAAUUUAUGGAUUAUCAGAUGUUGUGGUUUGGCAUGCAUUGUAAUAUGAUUUGAACGAGUCUAAUUAAUUUUAAUUUUUCAUGAUUCCGGUAGCAAAUUGCAUCGCUGCGGUUUUCUGGGUCUCUUGGACCGUAGUCAGAGAGGAAAAGAACUAGAAAUAGCAAAAGAAAUCAAGGGAUACAAGAAGAUCAUACUUCUGACAUUGCAAAUGGAAUAGAAAUGUUUAACGAAAAUGUUUCUGGUCAUUCGUUUCUUCUCAGCUAUCAAUUUGUUGCUUGGAGUUUACGUUUUUUUUGCACACAAUGCCAAAAAGAAUUAGGAAUAACAAAAACAAUUAGAUCAUAUAAGAUUAUAUUUGUGUCGUUCGCCGCAGCGGAACGCGGGUGUUUUUGCUAGUGUUAUACUCAAAGUCAAUGGGUUAUUUUUUUAUGAUUUUACUGGCUUUUAAUUUUGUUUCUUAUUGUGUUCUAGAAGCUGAACAAAUAUAAUGACAACAUGAAUAACGGGAAAGCCUAUAACAUAAUACCAGUUUGAAUGAACAUCAUGGAUAAUAAUUUGAUAGGUACGUCAUGAAAAUAAUAUGAAUGUCGUUUUAUUAUUCCCUUCUUGCCAUUUUUUCCGUUUUAGGAGAGUUCUUGUGUAUGAGCGGUUGUAUGUCGAAAUCAAUUGACGGGUAAGUUCGGUUGAUAAGAAGAUCCAUGAGGUUUUGAUUUUGUGUUUGUGGCAAUAUAGACAUGUAAUUUGUCCGUCGUAGUUGUCACUUGUAUUAUAGGAAUAUAAUAUUUAAUUGUAAUUAGUGUAAGAUUCCUAUUUCAAUAGGGUGUAACCUUGUAUAUAUUUUGUAAUAUUUUUCACAUAACAGUACAAAGAGUCAUGAUUCUACAUGUUAUCAAAGCAACAAAAUCACUUUCUUAUUAUUAUUUUUCUAACUUAUGAAAACCUACUUAUGUGUAAUGUCCACGUACGGAUACACGAUCACCAUAUAAAAAACCAAAGCAAUAUAAAUGCAGAUGGCAGCAUACCAAGGGCAAAUUAUACUCAAUUCUUCUUAAGAAAUUCAAUGGCAUAGGUGUUGAAGGCAGAGCACACGACUCGAAAGCCUUGGAAUCCAGAUCCCUUAGCCAAGGCCUCGAACUCCUUCUCCGUCCUCUCUUUUCCGCCGGGGUUGUGAGCUAACAUGAUCUCGUCGAUAUGGACAACUCCCUGGUGGCAAGGCUGCUGUCCGGAGCUACUGGAAGAAUGCACUCAGCAACAAUUACCUUCCCAUUGUCAGGGAGCGCAGCAUAGCAGUUCUUCAAAAAUUUCAAGCAAUGCUCGUCACUCCAGUCGUGGCAUAUCCACUGUAAGAUUGCAUACAGGAUUUGAUAUUAGUUCCAAUUAUAUUGAGCAACUAAGCUCCUAUGAGAAAUUAAUAUUAGCACUACAAAAUAAUCAUCGGCUCUUUUUUGAUAAAUAAUAACUCACCUUCAUGAAAAUUGCAUCUCCCUUUGGAACACUUACAAACAUGUCUCCUCCAACAUGCUCCACACCUAUAUUCAACAUCCACUGACCUCAUAUUCGUUAGGAAAAAUGAUAAAUAGUACAAAUAUUAUUUUUAUAUACAAUAACAUUAGGGGAAGAGAAAUUGAACUUGAGAGAUCGAAUGUAAAGGUGAACGCUUUUAAGUAAUUGAACUACAAACAUUAUCAGAAAUGAAGAACAUACCAGGAUAUUGAGGAGCAUCUUCGAUGACAUGAGGCAAGUCGAAAUUAAUGCCCUUAAUCGAAGGGUAUUUAGAGACGAUCAUGUUAAGGAUAGCGCCAGUGCCACCACCAACAUCAACGAUGCAUGUGAGGCCCUCAAAGCCAUUGUAGUUUCUUCAAGAAGUUUCUUCAUGAGAGAGAGAUCGAAUGUAGUUCUCAAGUAGUUCUCAAGAAGUUUCACAUGAGUGAGGUCGAUAAGAUAAACAGCUUGACUUUUAUAUACAUUCAACUAAGCUAACAUGUAGAAUUAGUAUGUAAAGACAUUGCACAAUUAGUAGAAAGAAACUGAAUGUUCUUGAUCACAAAGACAUGGUCGGCAAAAAAGUUAUGUUUCCAUAAGAAACAGAAGCAACAUGUAGUUCACACAAAUUUUUUCCAUUAUAGUUAGCUUUUGAAAAAACUGCUACACCGUUUUACAAAUUCAAUCGUUAAACAUGAUAUUGUAUUCCAAGACAAAGAUAAAGUAUAUGGUUUGUUUACAAAUCAAAGCUAGAAACCCCAAAGCUUUUUGCAUAUUCAUCAUCUCUCUGAUCAUGAAAAAUUAAAAUUAAUAAUAAUCACUCAAAUCAUAUUACAAUAUAUAACAAACUAUGUCAUCUGAUAAUCGAUAAAUUUUAAGAAAAUUUAAAAUGAAAACCAUAAUCUGAAAUGUCUGAAUUUUCUCAAACACUUUCUGAGAAGCCAAACCAAAACAAAAAACAAAAACAAAAACAAAAGGAGAUGAAUGAGAAAUGAGAAACGAGUAAUUACCAUGUCUGGAUUUGGAUGAGGCGGGAAGAGAAGGCCAUGAUCGGUUCACAGUCUUCCUCUUCUUCUUGUAAUUUAUGUUCCUCUUUCAAAUUUCAAAAACAAAAAAUCCACCCAUACUUAAUUCCCAUAAAAAAAAAAUUAAAAAAAAAUAAAAAAACUAGUAUAAAAAUUUCAUGGCACCUAUAAAAAUUCACCGUCACUAGUAUAAAAACCACCCAUACUCCAUUCCAUUUCUUCCCAAAACCCAGGGAUUCGGUGCCAGAACUGCAUCUUCUCAGUUGUUGCAUAUCUUCUUGCUAAUGUGUCAUUGACUUCGCACGCCUAGAAACCAAGCCAUCACAAUGCAAACGCGAGUAUCUCUGAUUAGCAUCGAAGGGGGUUGGCUUGGAAACUAAGAGCUGAGUAUCAUUCAAGGGAUUAUUCUGUAGCGUUGUGCCUACUCCGGAUGAUGCCAAAGUGGCCCCUUGAAGAGGUAAUGAAGGUAGUCAUCUAUCUAGCCUUUGGAAAGGUGCACUAUAUUGCAUGAACAUGAGGAAAUGCGAACAAAUAAGAAUUAUAAAAACUAAAGUGAAUCAAACCCAUGGAUCUUAUUGGGAUUACCUUCAUAAAAGCUAAGCAUUUUGGAAAAAACAUUUUCAAUUAAAAAUAACUUUGAAAAUGUCUUUCUAUUCAAGUAUGUUGGCCCAAAAUUGAAAGUGAUAGAUGCUUUCGAACAGUUUAGUUUGUAACCAUCAUUAACAUUACAAUUUUUUAGAAGUAAUGUAGACGAAUAUAUUUAGUUGCAUCAGGCUCCUUAGUUUCCAAUUGACAUGCCAAUUUAUGAUCCAUUGCUCUUUCUUUUUUAGACAAUAAAUCGAAAACAUUGAUAUAACCAAAUGCAUUCGAUAAUAGAAAACUACGUAAAUUUCCUAAGAGAGUUCUUGAACGGAAGAACUGACAAAGUAUUGAGUUGAUGAUGGCUUUUAUACCUACCCCAAUGAAUAGCUGCUGGAAGAAGUAUCUCAGGAAUAAGCAAUGCCUAUAAUGGAUUGCUCGAAAGCGCAUAUUCUUUGAAUUCCUCACCGCAAGGACAACAGCAAAGAGCACCGAUCUCUGCAUUUCCACCAAUAUAUACAAAAGAGUCAACAUUUGAGUUUAUAUUUUACUUAAAAUAUGAUUUUAGCCCUUCCAACUCAAUUUUCUUCAUAUAAAACCCUACAUAACUUUUUUACUCAAAGAAAACCCAAUGACUAGGAUCCACAUAAGCAAAUUCAUUAAUUUCAAUAUUACUUCACACAUUUUACAUUUUUCACAUGCCUAAAAUACCCCUAUUACAUAUUUGAUGUAGACAAUUAAUUGUAAGGAGAGAGUAAAUGAUUUUGCAACAAGAAAAACAAGACAUUAAUGUUAAAAAUUUAUUGCAUAUUAAUUUUUUUAGAAAGGCUUUGAAUUUUCAUAAACUAUUUGAUUAGUUUUUUUCACGCUACUCUUGAACACUUUUGAAUUUAUCCUUUUUUUAUUAAUAUAUUAGAACAUUGUAUUUCAUUAUCUACAUGCACAUUAAUUUACCUACAACAAUUAUACCAUGAGUGUAAUAUAAUAUCUCUUUUUUACAAUGAUGCAAAAUAAUGUUUAUACCAACAACAAAACGUGCCUAACAUAUGUACUAAUACAUGGAAAAUAAUUUACCUAUAUUAAGAAGAAAUGUAGUUCGAUGCGUAGUAUUAAAAAUACUAUGUUACACCCAUGUUUAUACAACAAUAAAACGUGCCUAACAUAUCUAACAAUACAUGGAAAAUAAUUUAUCUACAAGUUAGAUAAAUGUUAUUUGGUCGGGUGUAUAUAAAUUGUUUUAAUAAUUGGAAAAAUUAAAUAUAACUAGGUGUAGUGAAAUUUUUUUCUAUAAUUAGAACAAAUUAAUUUACCUACCUACUAUUUGAAAUGUUCAUUUCUAAUGAUGCAAAAUGUUCAUUACCUAACUACAAAAUAAUUUCCAAUAAUUUACCCACAACAAUUAUACCAUGGGUGUAAUGUAAUAUCUUUCUUUACAAUGAUACAAAAUAUUGUAUGUAUACCAACAACAAAAUGUGCCUAACAUAAGUACUUGUACAUGGAAAAUAAUUUACCUAUAACAAAAGAAAUGCAGUUUGAUGUAUAAAAUCAACAAUAAAUUUACCUACAAGUUAGAGGAAUGUUAUUUGAUUCAAAAUAUAUAAUAUAGGUGUAGUAUUUUUUUUUAAAUAAUUGGAACACACUAAUUUACCUACCAAUUAAUAUGGGUAAAAUUGCUACAAAAUAUAUCACGAAAAAAAAAACUACUUUUCUAGUUUGACAUGGAUACGGUUAAUGCAAACACUUUUUACAUUUUAUUUCACUUUUUCUACUACUUUUAUUUUGGCAUAAAUUUAGGAAUUUGGAAAACGGACCAUAAAGUAUGAGUGGCAUGAGUGUAAAUAAAUUGUAUUUAUAGGUCAAUAGUGUUCCCAUAUAUUUGCAAAUUUUAAAUUUUGGCUUAAACUGGAUCUUUAAAGAUAGAUGAGUUUUUAUCUAGAAAUAAUAAGUUGUAAGGGCCAAAAUCUAAAGCACCCUAUUUUUUUUUCAUAUUCUGUUUCUUCAUUUUCUUCUAUAUCACUUUCUAUACUCAUAUAUAUACUCAUAGUUUAGUUUAUAUUGGACAGGACCGAUCAUCAUAUGCUCAUAUAUAUGCGUUUGUUUAAUCAAUAAUGCUAUUUAAAGGUACAAAACUAAUCGCAUUUCUGAGACACUCGAAAAUAGCGGUGGACUCUACAAAUACACGCAAAACAUACAUGUGCUAAAGAAUCUAUAACAAUGCGAUUAAUUUUGGGAGUCUAUAUAGUAUUACUUGUUAUUUAUUUAUUGCCUAUCUGAUUAUGGCUUCUCAUGGCAGGUAGGAAUGCUUCUGUAAUUUGGUUGAUUUAAUUUCUUGAUCAUAAUACCAAUUUGAAUGAACAUCAUGGAUAAUAAUUUGACAGCUACGUCAUGAAAAUAAUAUGAAUGUCAUUUUAUCAUUUCCUUUUUGCCAUUUCUCUGAUUUAGGAGAGUUCUUGUGUUGUGUAUAAGCGAUAUGUCGAAAUCUAUUGACGGGUAAGUUCGAGUGAUAAGAAAAUCCAUGAGGUCCGAUUUUGUGUUUGUGGCAAUACAGACAUGUAAUUUGUCCGUUGUACACUAGAUUCUUUCAUUUUUUAGACCCUAUUGCAUGGGUAUGAUUCCAAAUUUAUAACAUACAAGCAUGUUAGAAUAGAAUUAAUUAAUCCAGAAUUUUAUUCAUAGUUGUCACAUGUAUUAUAGGAAUGUAAUAUUUAAUUGUAAUUAGUGUAGGAUCCUAUUUCAAUAGGGACUAAUGUAACCUUGUAUAUUUAUUGUAAUAUUUUUCACACAACAAUACAAAGAGUCAUAAUUCUACAUGUUAUCAAAGCAACAAAAUCACUUUCUUAUUAUUUUUUUGUAACAUAUGAAAACCUACUUAUCGUGUAACAUCCACGUAUGGAUACACGAUCACCAUAUAAAAAACCAAAGCAAUAUAAAUGCAGAUGGCAACAUACCAAAGGUAAAUUAUACUCAAUUCUUCUUAAGAAAUUCAAUGGCAUAGGUGUUGAAAGCAGAGCACACGACUCGAAAGCCUUGGAAUCCAGAUCCCUUAGCCAAGGCCUCGAACUCCUUCUCCGUCCUCUCUUUUCCGCCGGGGUUGUGAGCUAACAUGAUCGCGUCGAUAUGGACAACUCCCUUGGUGGCAAGGCUACUGUCCGGAGCUACCGGAAGAAUGCACUCAGCAACAAUUACCUUCCCAUUGUCUGGGAGCGCAGCAUAGCAGUUCUUCAAAAAUUUCAAGCAAUGCUCGUCACUCCAGUCGUGGCAUAUCCACUGUAAGAUUGCAUAAAGGAUUUGAUAUUAGUUCCAAAUAUAUUGAGCAACUAAGCUCCUAUGAGAAAUUAAUAUUAGCACUACAAAUAAUCAUCGGUUCUUUUUUGAUAAAUAAUAACUCACCUUCAUGAAAAUUGCAUCUCCCUUUGGAACACUUACAAACAUGUCUCCUCCAACAUGCUCCACACCUAUAUUCAACAUCCAUUGACCUCAUAUUCAUUAGGAAAAAUGAUAAAUAGUACAAAUAUUAUUCUUAUAUGCAAUAAUAUUAGGGGAAGAGAAAUUGAACUUGAGAGAUCGAAUGUAAAGGUGAGUGCUUUUAAGUAAUUGAACUACGAACAUUAUUAGAAAUGAAGAACAUACCAGGAUAUUGGGGAGCAUCUUCGAUGACAUGAGGCAAGUCGAAGUUAAUGCCCUUAAUCGAAGGGUAUUUAGAGACGAUCAUGUGAAGGACAGCGCCGGUGCCACCACCAACAUCAACGAUGGAUGUGAGGCCCUCAAAGCCAUUGUAGUUCUCAAGAAGUUUCUUCAUGGUAAUGGUAGAGUGGUCAGCCAUUCCCUUGUUGAAGACCUUGUUGAAUCUGGGGUCAGUGCCAUGGUACUCAAAAGCAGUCAUUCCGUAGGCCUUGUUGAAUGGGAUACCUCCUUCAAGGACUGCAUCUUUCAAGUUGUACCUGCACAAACCCGAAACAAGCAUGCAUGACUCAUUUGUGUUUAAAGCUUAAUCUACAAGGAAAGGGCCGGACCCUUGAAAUUUGAUUCAACAACUACAAAUAAGAAGGCCCCUUUAAAAAUUAUAAUAACUUUAAUCGUUGAAUCAAAUAUCAAUAGUCUGAAUAAGUGGACUUGAUAGACUUGAUGGAAGGGAUCCGGAGAGAAUCAUUUUCCAAUCUACAAUACCAAAGUACAAGCAAUCUUGUAAACUAGGCCAACCGACAUUCCACGUGUUUCAAGGCCCGCAUAACUCACAAUAAUCAGAUAAUUUAUGGGUUUGUUAAAACAACUCUCCCUUCUUUUAUUGAAUUCGGAUCCUCUUUGUAGGAAUAUUAAGAAUCUUAAAGAUUCGUAAAUCGUAUCAAUUCAUUGUACAUCGUACGAUCAUAAAACUAUUUGCAUUUUUUUAUUUAAAAUUAAACACAAACAACACUUGAUGAAAUCUGACCGUACGAUCACAGAUCUUCAGGAUUCUCACAAAGAAGAUUCAGAGAGAAUUUGUUGGUCUUUUAUUGACAUGGAUUGCGUCAAUCAGUUAGUAAAAUAGUAUCCUUUUAUAUUUGAGUACAAAUUAUCAUUUUUAUAGUUUUGAUAAAAAUGAGGGAGGAAGUUAAUUUAAAUUUCACCUCUAGCUAAUUGACGGAACUUACACUCCAUAUAGAAGAAUAAAAUAGUUAAAACAUACAGUUGUCCUAAGGAAAAAGAUUGAUAAGAAAUAAACGUGUAACAUCGAAACACUUUGGUGUGGUUGUUGAAGUGGUUUUACCAACUUUCCACUCCUAAUUUGAUUUAAGUGGAAAUCAUAAAACAGGUGACCAGUCAUCAUAUAGCGUAAUGCUAGAAAAAUAAAAUUUAAAAAUAAAAUUUACAAAUUAAUUGAUAUGAAAAUUAAUUGUUGAAUUAUUACUUAAAAGAUGAGACAUUAAUAAACAUGAUUUUUUUUUAUUAAUGACAUAUAAUUUAGUUUAAAAUUUUUAUUUAAAAUUUGGUUUCUUUAAAAGUCUGACAAGAAGUCAAUUUGGAGUCUUGUCCGUCCCCAACCGCCUAAUGGGCCAAAAGUAAUAUGAACAACGAAGAAAACAUUAGGAAAAAUAAAUUUUAACGAAAAAGUUUUGAUAUUUUUUAUUUUAAUAAAAAAAUUAUAAUUUUACAUUAAAAAAUCAUUUAUAAUACUAUUCAUUUUAUUUUUUAUUUUAUCUUAAAAUUUUCAAACCAAUUUUUAUUAGUUUUUCUUAGGAAAAAAUAGAGAACAAUCACAUAUUAAAGCCAUAACUCACAGUUCGUACGUAACAUUUUAUGAAUAUUGUAUUAUUAUCAACCUAUUUGAACCCCAUUAAUUAAUGUUUGUUAACGAUCAAAUUAAGAUGAUAAAUAAAGAAGAAGAAUGGUAAUUACCAGCUCUCCAUAAGGACCUUGUCCUGAUUCAUGAGGCAGAGAGAACCAAUGGAAGCACCAUCCUCGCUCUUUGUCAAGAACUUGCAGACGGGGCCGAGGCCGUACAGCCGCUCGACUUUGCCGUCGGGAAGUGUGCGGAGGGAGUAAGUGAGGAUAGAGUAGCUGGCCAGGACGCGCAGCAUGCGGUCCAGCAUGACGGAGGCGUCAGGGUUCUUGGUCGGCAGCUGCGAAGAUAAGUCAGCCGGAGAAACAAAAGCGCCAGGCCCGGCUUUUGCCAUGAUCUCGAGGAGGUCGAGCUCGAUGGCUGCCUUGAGCACCAUGGGGAGGACGGAGGCGCUGGCUAGCUGCAUGGCGAAGAGGUUGGCUUCUUCAUCGGAGACUUGGGUUGGAGUCAUCUGAGUCUCUGGGGUCGAACCCAUUUUUUGGAUUUGGUGUUGUUGAUGGUGUUGGUGUUGGUGGGGAGAGAGAGAGAGAGAGAGAGAGAGAGAGAGAGAGAGAGAGGAGGAGGAGGAGGAGGAUGAGGAGGACUGAGGGUGGAAGAGAUGGUGUGUGCUAAGUGGUAAUAUAUAUGUAUUUCCUUGCUCACCCACCGCCAUUGCUGUAAAAGCAAGGUGUCCACCACCCAUGCAGGACCCCACAUGCGUCCCACACGUCUUUACCUUUUAGAAAGCUAAUUAAAAUAAUUUCAAUUCUUUAUCUGCUUUUGUUUUAUUUCUUUUUUAGGAGGGUGUGUAGUCGGAAUUCACACUCAAUAUGAAGGAUUUGUACAAGCUUUGUUAGAUUAGUUGUUUAAUUAAGAGUAUAUAUUUAAUUUGUGUUUGAUUUUUCUCCCCUUAAUUUUGUUGUUUAAAAAGAAAUAUGAAUAAUUUACAAAUCCAAACUUUCCUAUUAAAAAGUGCAAUUUUUCUUCGAAUGUUAUACUCAAGGUCAAUGGGUUUUGAUUAAAGGGAAAGCCUGUCACAUCAUUCCACUAUAUAGUAUACAUCACCAGUUCGAGCAUAAGCAUGCCAAAAUAAAGAUGACAAAAAAGGUAAACCCUUCAAUCCAACGGGGAAAAAACUAAGCAAGUUUUUCUACAGAAAUACAGCAUGACAUGACAAGGGAUAAUUGGAGAAAAGAAUAGUGAAUUGUCCCUCCGAAGUCCUUCUAGCUGGUGAUAGAGCAUAAAUUUACAAUAAGGUCGUUAUUAUUUAUUUAUUUAUUUUUAAUAGUGUGUGAAAUGAUUUUAAUCUUCAAUUUUCUCUUUAGUUGAUUCGGCAAAUUUUAUAAGAUGAUAAUAAGGACAAUAAUGUUUUAUAGCAUUGAAUGUUGAGCGAUCAAGCAUUAAUAUAUUUCAUAUGAGUCUCCUCAUAGUAUUCUUGAUCAAGCAUCAUAUUUUCUUCAAGCUCGAAAGGUAACAUAUACUGAUUGAGAGACUUUUAGCCUAAAUGAUCCAUAAGAUUGGUAUAACUCCUCACUCUAGUUCCUGACAUUGAAAAUUGAUAUAAUUGGUCUUUGAGUUUGUCCCCUGUAAAUCAUUUUUUGUCAUUCUGUGAAAAAAUAUGUCAAUAUCAUCGUUAAAUGGAGGGGUUAGUUUGACAAAUAUCAUCAUUAAAAAGAUUGUUGUGUGGUCGUCCACAUGACAAUUUAACGAGGAUAGUGGCAAAUUUUUCACGGAAUAAAAUAAUUUACAAUGAACAAACUCAAAAACCAUUUCUAUUGAUUUUCAUUAUUAAGGAUCAAAUUGAGGAUUAUGCUAAUUGCCUAAAAGCCAUGAUUUAGAUGGUAUCAUUGUCAUGGUUUGUGUCAUCGUGACUCAUCCAUGAUGUAUGAAAGGGAUAGGUAUUUCUAUUGGAAAUUUACAAAUAAGAACAAAAAUAAAAAACAAGAGUGUGACAAUUUAAUAAGGAGUUGGCCCGGUAUCUUAUAAUAUGCUAUUACCUAAGCUGCGGUGCAAGAUCAAAUCAGUUGGUGAGUGGAACCUAUCAAUAUUCAUUUCCAAACGUUAUAAUACUUGACCUAAUUUAUAUAAAUAUGGUGGUGUUACUUAGAAGACAACAAUUAUGCCUUCUCCAUACUGAUUCAGGUAUUGUAUUAGGGGUGUGCUAUCCACACACCCCAAAUUACUUCCCACACACCUCUUGUUAAUUUCUGUCCGUUGAUCUUCUUCAAUUCAUCUGAUCCGACUGCUGAAAAUUAAAAGGGUGUGUGAGAAGUAAAAUGGGGUGUGUGGAUAUCACACCCCUUGUAUUAUUGAUUUCUCCAACUCCACUUAAGCUGAAAGGUGUAAAACGUUUAGUUCUCAUGCUUCAUUGGGACAUCAUUCGCACAUGAAUUGUGUGAGUAAGUUGAUUAUCGUCAUUCUUGUUUUGUGAGUUUUACAUGCAUGAACAGUCUGAAUUAGUUUAAAUCUAUAUUAUACGACGUUAAAUUAAAUAAUCUAUGAAAAUUCAGAAAAAGAAAACAGUUUAAACAUAGACAUCGAAUCUUACUUCAUAUUAAUGUUAAUAGUUGCUCAAAUUAAUUAAUUAACAAACUCCUGUGUUGAAAAUUGAAACAAAUGAAAACUCCAUUUGGUAUUAAUUAGGUUUACAAAUGGUAUUAUAUAAUUGGUCGCGGUUGGACAAAUCAAAGGGGAUCACAUCUCACCUAAUCUUUGAACAUGUAGAUGUCGGAUCAGACGCAGCUAUUGGUGAAAAAAUCAAAGUGCUACUUCCACAUCUUAAUUGGACCCCAUCUUUUUCUGGAACAAACUUAACAUUUCCAGAGACCCAGACCCUGAGAUGUAAAAAGAAAAAGUUCGACAAAAUUCAGAACCAGAAGAGGUCCAAACUCCUAAGGUGUCACCUCUUUAACAAAACAUCCUCACCAACCCUGCCAACAAAAUCCUCAUUUCAGGAUUUGUAAAUCAUGUAUAUUUAUCGUAUAUCGUACAAUCAAUUUUUGUUAAAUACUGUUUGUGUUCAAUUUUAAAUAAAAAAACUUAAAACAAUUAAUGAUCUCACGAUAUACGAUAAACGAAUAUAAUUUAUAGAUCUCCAAAAUUCUCACAAAAAGAAUCUGAAAAGAAUCCAAAUUCCCAACCCUGCAAAAGCAUUAAGAAUUAUAUAAAAAAAGAUUAUUAGCUUAACGUGUUUGAUUAUAAUAUUUGGUCAACAAUCAAAUGGAAUAAAGGAGGAUACGUUAAGAUAUAAGGGUAUUAUAUAUAUUAAUUGUAAUGUUCCACCAAAUACAUUAUAAUUGGUAUAAGAUAUAUAAGUAGGAGUCAACACUAGAAAUCGAAAACCGAAGCCAAAAUACGAAUUAAGCUGGACCGCAUUGAACAGUUAAGUUUUUGCAAUUUUGAUACGAUUUUGAUUUGCAACCCAACCACAUCACAAAUGAAAAAUGACUGAUUCCUAACAAUCAUACGUUUGUACGUUUCCUUUCUUUGCUGCUACUUUAUCUAAUCUCUUUUGUGGUGAAUUAUUUCAAAGGGUCAAAUCUUUGAUGCAUAUAGCUCUACAAUUGAUGAAAGUUAAUUGUAGGUGGAGAGCAACAAAUGAUGGGAUAAAUUUGUUUAACUUUAAGCACAAAAUAUAUCUACAAAAGUAUAAAUCGGAAUCAUGGUGAUCCGACGUAUGGUUGCGAGCUUCAAGCUCCCAAAAGUUGAUAUAAUAAAACAUUUUCUCAUGACUUGAUUGAUUUGUUGUUAUCUCUUGCAUGGUUACUUUUAGCUUUUUAUUUUGUUAUUUGUUUAUACGUUUUUUGUAUUAUUAUGCUCUCAUGUUUCUUUAAAUCUUAAUUUAUAUAAGUGCAAGUGAAUGUAAUGUAAUUCUUCUCCCUAGUGCUUUGAAACCGAAACCAUUUGAAACCAAAUCGAGUUCAAAUGGUUUGGUUCCAUUUCUUACAAACUUCAAAACCAAACUGAAUCGCAAAAAAAAUUGAUUUUAGUUUCACCCAAAACCGCACCGAACCAAACUGUGCACACCCAUAUAUAUAAAUUUUGUUCUCUUGAAAUGAACAAUGGAGAUUGUGUCAAAGGGUUUAAAAUUUAAGUAGUUAAUAGCAUUUGUUCUUGCAUACGAUAUUAUGCGCUGGAAUCCUUCGUCCACUAUUAUUGUUUGUAAAUUGGUGGCCAAAGUGUUGGAAUUUAUGGUUAGCUACAUGCACAGAUUACAACCUAAUACCAAGGAUGAAAGAGCACACAAAUCUGAUGAAGCCAUUAAUGAAUGAUCGAGGAAGAGUCUUCUACUAAAUGGGGACCUUAUGUUCUCACUAGAAUAGGGCUAGUUACUAAAAGAACGUGUUCCUCUUGAGCAGGGACUAAACCAUUUUUUAGACGUAUAACCACAACCGUUUCCACCUAUCACAUAAACUGCUUGGCAAAACUGCCCGCCCAUUUACACUCGGGAAAUUUGGAAAAGUAACCAUAUUUUAAACCUCAUAUAGAAUUAUAGCCACCAUUUUAAUUUUAUGAUAAUUCUAACCAAAACUUAAUGUAAAAGUACUAAUAUACCCUUAAUGAAAAUUUGGAAAAGUAACCAUAUUUUAGACCACAUAUAGAAUUAUAGCCAUCAUUUAGUUUUAUGAUAAUUCUAACCAAAACUUGAUGUUGAGAUCUUGAAACAUAAAAGAGAUAGCCUCCUCAAUACUACCCAAUACCCCUAUUCUCGAACCCUCCAUUUCCUACACUCUUUUAUAUAUAUAUGGAUAUUCAAAUGUAAUCAGAGAAAGUGAGAUUUGAAGAUAACCUAGUAAACAUAAAAAUUAAUUAGGAAUUGAAUCUCCGAAGCAAAAUUUGAAUCUAAAAAUAGAGGAGCAAAAAGCCUUUUAAGCUAAAAUCUGUGUGAGGUUUUUCUGCUAAACUGGUGAUUGAAAAUAUAAAAGCCGAUAAUGUGAUAAAUCCCGAAUAAUAUAAAAGCCAAUAAUGUGAUAAAUCCCGAAUAAUAUAAAGCCCAAUAAUGUAAUAAAUCCCAAAGAAAAACAUUCACAUCAUGUGUUGGAAUGGAGUCUAAUUGGAUUCUUGCAAGUUUGGCGAUUGUGGCCUGUCCCACCACAGCGACUGCACUUCUUCACUAUCCUUUCCUCUCCCUGAGAUGGGAUUCUGUUUGUCUUGCGUCUUCCAGAUACAACUUGUCUGAUUGGAGGUAACACAACUCUAUUAUGCACCUCUUCUGGCACACUCCAUUCACUCUUGUUUCCAACCGGCCAAAUGGGCUCCGCAUACGCUAGCACAAUUGCAUUGGCUGUGUAGAAUUUGGAGCACAUAGUGUACACUAAUGUGUUGCGAAUUCGACAUGCAGCAGUUGCAUGGACACAUGGAAGCUGGUCGAGAUCAAACCUUCUACACGUGCAUGACUUGGCAUUUAGAUCAACUAUAUGAUAUAAGUCUGCCUCAUGUACUUGCAAUGCAUAAUGAUUAAUGGAAGAUACCUGCAUAGUUGACAAGUAACAACCAACAACAAGAGACCAAUUAAUCAUAAUUAUCAUAUUCUUUUAUCAACCUGUUUAUUUGUUUGAAACAUUUUAACUAUGUUUUUUGUUAACAAAAUAUGCACUAACCACAUAGAUUUGGCCGUCAUCCAACUCACUUGACCAUGAAAUAUUACAUGCUUCAAGGCCACAACUGAUUAAAUAAAAAGUUAAGAAGAGUGAAAAUAGCUUUUUGUUGGUUCCUUUUUUUUUUUUCCCUUCAUAUGUUCUUGGUAUGGAUUCUAUGUAAAUUUAGGUGUCCAGUGUGCAUUAGGAAUGUGAGAGUGCAUAAAAAUGUAAACAAAUCAUACAUACCGACAUACGCAAGCCUCUAUUUUGAUUCUUGUGCACUUUUUCCUCUGCCCACUUUGUCAAGGUCGAAUUCCAUGAACUUGCUGUGUUCCGACGUUCGUUGAACCACUCUUGUAGUAUACCUCUAAGGUGAUCCGCUAGAGCAAUGAUAGGCAACUUUCGAGCAUCCUUCAGUUUUGCAUUCAUGGAUUCGGCAAUGUUGGUUGUCAUCAUGUUGUAUCGUUUUCCACUGAAAUGUGCCCGAGCCCAUCUAUGAUACCCAAUUUCUUGAAGAUAUUUUCCUACUUUUCCAUCUUUGAUUGCCCAAAUAUCAGUCAUAACACUAUUAAACUCUGACACAAGGUAUGCUUUUGCCGCAGUGUAAUAUAACUUAAACAUCGUUUCAUCAUCACCAAAUUUAGUCCUCAUGUUGCCAGCUACAUGAUACAUACAAGCUCCAUGAUAUGCCUCUGGAAACACAGUUUGUACAGCUUUACCAAUACUUCCAUGUCGAUCAGAUACAAACACCAAGUCUGCUACCUCUCCAAUGGCACUUCUCAAUUUUGUAAGAAACCAUGUCCAUGAAGCGUCAUUUUCUGAGUCACCCACACCAAAUGCUAAAGGAUAUAUUUGAUUUUGUCCAUCAUGGCAUACAGCAACAAAUAAGGUGCCAAGAUAUUUACCCUUUAGAAAAGUCCCAUCAACUGCUACCACAGGCCUCAUAGAACCACGAAAUCCCCUUAUAGAGGCUCCCAUUGCCAUGAAAAAGUAUAAAAAGUGAUUAUUGUCAUCCGUUUCUAUAUGUGUUAUUGUCCCAGGGUUUUUACUUUCUAACAUGGCACAAUAGGCAGGAAGUGCGGCAAAAGAUUCCUCUGGCGACCCUCGGAUCAUGUCAAAUGCGUGCUCUCUUGCUCUCCAAGCUUUCUCGUAGCUCAUAUUAACCCCAACUUGUGCUCGCAUAUCCUCAAUGAAGUCUUUAGGUCUAUAUACACGUGAUGCCCCCUCAUACUUUGACUUUAUAAAUUGGCCAACAACAGAACUACUUGCUUGCCGAUGAUCACGCUGAACAACAUCUAAUGAACAAGAAUGAUUAGUUUCAAAUUUUCUUACUUCAAAAAAUUCUGACACUUGUAACUUGGUUGCACGAAGUCGCCACUUGCAAUUAUCAUCCACACAUCUAAUUUCCAAACGAUCCUUAGUUGAUCUUUCCACUUUAAAUUCAUAAUUCUUCCUCAUUGCAAUCAUAGCUAAUUGUUUUUGCAACUCUUUCUUACUCGAGUACAAUUGUCCGACCAUAAUAUCUCCAUCUAUAUUCAAAUCUGCAAUAUUAUCAUAGUCUUGUAUGCUCUUACGCUUGUUACGACGAGACGACGAUAGAUUGAAAUUGACAUCGUUCGACUGCACAUUAUCGAAAUGGGUACUGUCAUGAUAGUCAUCAGUAAACUCAAAACUCACAUCUAUUGAAGCCUCACUAAUCUGGGCAUUGUCUUGAAGAACUUGACUUGGUUGUUCAUCACUCAAAAUGUCAUCAUUCUCUUGAAUUCCCACUGUUGGUGAUGGGGAACUGCAUGCAAUUGGGUGUUCAUCUUCAGGUUCAUUUAGAGGAUAUGUUGUAACAUAUAACGGAAUCUUGUUCGGUUUUGCAGAAAGACUUUCACAUACCCAACUAGUCACAUCGUCGUUGUCUACAAUCUCCAUCAUAGUUUGUAUCCCUAAGUUGCUAAUGCAUUGAUAAUGUACUGAGAUUCUAAAUUCACUUGGACUAACAUGAAGACGUUUAUAUAUACCUUGUAUAAGAUCUAGAUGAGUAACUUCGGUUGACACUACCAUUGCUUUCGCUUGACCAUCUGUGUAUUGGCUAUCAACCCUCCUCCAUCCGUAAUGGACCACGGUAACAAAUUGAGUCAUUUUCUGAAGGAAAAAAAAUUAAUUAGCGCAUCUAACUAACCUGCAAAUAUAUUAAAAUUAGGAAAAAGUUAUAGAAAAAAUUAAUUAGCACAUAUAACUAACCUGGGUUUUGGGUUUAGGGUUUCAGUGGUGAAAAAUGGACACCUCCUUGCAGCAAACCCCUAAACCUUAAAAUUCAACGCCAAGCAUAAGGUCCUGAUUUUCCAAUGCUUUACCAAAGCUUUACCGAUGCUUCCAUGGACACCUCUCUUCUUGUGAUUUUCUUCCUGUUUUUCUUUCGCUGUUUCUUUUUUUUUUGUCAAAAUUCAACGCCAAGCAAACCCCAAAUUGUUCUCUCGCUGUUCUUUUUUUUUUUUGUCAAAAUCUCUUCCUGUUUUUCAUUCUUAGUUGACUGAUGUUGAUUAGGUUUUGUUUUUGUUGUGAGAAACCCUAAUAUUAAGGGUAUAUUAGUACUUUUACAUCAAGUUUUGGUUAGAAUUAUCAUAAAAUUAAAACGGUGGCUAUAAUUCUAUAUGAGGUCUAAAAUAUGGUUACUUUUCCAAAUUUCCCUUUACACUCCGACAUGGGAUAUCCUUUCACCAACAUGUUUAACCUUAUUGUCCUACUUUAAAGGAAAGAAGACUUAUUCAAAUAUUAACUCUAACGGAUUCCAGUUUCAACUAAACUCAAAACCCUAAUGAGAUAAGUUUAGAGUCCAAUAGGGUUCCAACACAAAGAUACUAACAAAACAAAAUUACAAGGAUGUCCAUGCCCUUAACAUGUUUAUCGGAAAUGGAUAUGCAAGGUUAUAGUAUUGUUCUCUUUCGUGAUUUGGAUUGUGUUUACUUACAUAAAGAAUCAGGAAUAGAAUUUUGUACCAGAACAAUUAGGUAUCGUUCAAUCACAACUGCUACUAAUUCUAAUAAGUAAUAAACGAUGAAACAAACAAACAAAUCCGCUCACUAAUCCCUAUCUUGUAAACACUUAAACAUUGUGUUAAACAAUUGAUUUUCAAUGAAAUAAUCAUACAAUUUGUAACUCUUGAAUCAUAUCGAUCUUUCGGGUUCCACUUCGGUCCUACACAGUGUUAAAUCCUAUGAGUCUCAAACAGUCUGAACAUACCAGAUCACAAUAAAAAUAAUAGACCAAACCAAUUUAGACCAUUCAAUACUCAUACAUUUAAUGCUCCGCAACAUAAAUUUUUUUUCUUCUUGUUUUCUUUCCUUUUCAAGGCCCGAUUAAUAGCAAGCAUAUGACUUCAUUCCAUAGUAUAUGGAAUCCAUACAACCAGUAUCAGGCCCAAAUAAUUUGGAAUUUGGGCCUCGACCAGUUUGAACAUAAUAAUUCACAAUUUUGGGCUGGCCCAAGCUAUCUAACUGCUACAAACAGGAGGUUCUCUAAAAGUUAUAAUUCUUGUAGCCGUUAUAUCAAAUUUAAACGGUCCAGAUCUUUUGAUCUUUAGACUCAGUUUAUUUGGGUCCGGAGGAGAUCCAGUUCUGUUUAAAGAAUCGGAUCCCCUCUGUACCCAAAUAAAUUGAGCCUCCUAAGCAAAUGAUUUAAGCAGUUGAAAUUUGAUCAAACGGCUACAAAAAGGAUGCACUUUAAGAGUUAUAAUAAGUGUAACAUUUGAAUUAAAUUUUAACGAUGCAGAUCUCUAGAAGGGAUCCGGUUCCCUCGUCUAUAACAAAGUGGCGACAUGUCAAGAGCCAAAAACGCGACUGUUCAUCCGAAAUUCGGAUUCCGAAUCAUCAGACGAAGAGAGAUUAAAAAAAAAAAAAAAACUAAUGAAAAAUGUAUAAUACCAUGAUUGAUUUUUAAUGUAAAAAUGUGAUUUUUUGUUAAAAUGAACGAUACCGUCUUUUUCUUUAAAGUUUUCGUUAAAGUUCCUAACAAAAAUUCAAAAUCCUGGGUAACCAAAAGCGAGCCAGAGAGAAAAUGGAGGGCGAAACCGGAAUCGACGUCAAAGUGAUUAAUCAGCCGUCGUCGACGCCAUCGCGCUUGAAGAAGAAGAAGAGAGUGACAGCCCAGAAAUCGCCCCAGAAGGCUCCGCCCUCUUCUUCCGCGGAGGACGACGACGGGAGUCCAAUCAGGCAAAUUCUCUGUGUCAAAAACAAGGUCGAUGUUAAACACUUCGAGGACGUCGAGGACUGCUUCAUUUUGGAUUUCGACCCCUCGGAGCCGGUGCAGUUGUCCAAGUUGUCAGUGUCGGUUAAUGGUGGUGGUGGUCACGAUGGUUCUCCCGAUAUCGCUGUUGUUGCUGAGAAAGGACAGGUUUUGAUCUUUACCCAUGACCCAUUUAUUUCUUUGUGUUAAUUUUCUUUCUUUUGUUUGGUUUCCGGGAAAAUGCAGGUAAAGAACUGAAUUUGAAAUCAUUAACUCCAUUUUGUUUCUUUGUUCUUGUGUUUGGUUGCUGGGAAUAUGCAGGUGAAGAAAUGGAUUUUAAAUUAGAACCCCAUUGUGGCAUUUUGCCUUUGAACCUUCAGAUGUUUAACCUCAAAAGAUUUGAAAUUUAUAAGAAGUUUCCAACUUUUUGGCUUAUCUGUUCAUAUUCCAAUUUUUGUGAAUUUAUGAGCUAAUUUUGUGAAUAUCUGAUGCCUUGUGUUGGUUUGAAUUGAUGCUGUGUAGGUUGCUUGUAGAGACUAUCCACAUUCAAGGCACCUCUGCCUGAAAUUUCCUUUCGGGACGACACCCCAUGAGAGCUACUGUGAUCUGGUAAUGGAGUUUUACAACUUCAAAUCUUUGCGUCUUGUGACUGUAUCCCUGAUUCCCUAGUUCUGUUGUUUAACUUGGCAUCUGAAAAGUGAAUUCACUGACUGUAUGCAGUGCUACUGCUACGUUUGUGAUUCUGCCGCUCCAUGUGGGUUAUGGAAACCAUCGCAUUGCCAUGCCGCUGCGCACAUUGGUGAUUGGAAGUCCAAAAGGAUGUUGAGGAAGCAGCAAGCCGCGGUGAAGAAGUGAACAAAACUCUCGUUGUUUAGCCGAAUUGCAGUUAAUGGGAUGCGAGAAAUACCAAAAAACUGAACCGUUGUUCCGCUAUUAGGCCGAUUUGCAGUUAUGGGAUGCGAGAAAUACCAGGAGAGUGAACUGUUGUUUUGCUCGUAAGCAGUCAAGUUCAAGUAAUUUUGUUCAUAGGGAAGGUACUUGAAAUGGCGUUUGUUCUGACUCGAAAAAUUGUAGUUACUGAUGAACUUAUGAUGUUGGUAGAGAUGGAAUCAAAUUUGAUCAGUUCAAUUCGAGUUGUUUUCUUGUUAUGGUUUGCAGGUAUAAGUGGGUUUUAUUGCUGGUAACCGGAAUUGCAUAUGCCUCAUGACAUGGAAGAGCAUCUAUCAAGUUGCAAAUGUCUUUUGUUGCUUAUUCGGAGAAUUAAAAUCUUCAUGAACGUGAUGGUUCAUCAAGCCGCUAGUAUCUCAAGAUCCUUUCAAUGAUCUAUGUUGUGUUGAAGGGAUAUCUGUAUGCUCCGAUUGAUUGCGGAAAGUCCUGUGAGACCUUAAUCGGAUGUGUAGUCAUAGGUAGACCUGGCAUUUUGGACCCGACCCGUUAAUAUUAGUAUUUGGGUGAAUGUUUAGCGGGUGAAUCCGUUAAUAACCCGUUAAAUAACUGGUCACUUUGGAUCAACCCGUUAGACCCGUUAGCACCUGUUAGUUGAGAAUGUUUUAGUAAUUUCAAUCAAGUCUUAACAACAAAAAUAAACUUUAUGAAAAAAAAAGAUUUAAUUGUUAACGGGUGAAACGGGUGACCUGUUAGCUUAACUGGUAUGGUUCGGAUGACCCGUUAGCGUAACGAGUUGGGUUCAGAUGAUCCGUUAACUUAACAAGUCGGAUUGAACCCGAUCUAAACCCAAUAAACCCGACCUAUUUACAGGUCUAGUCAUAGGUGGGAGGUGGCGACGCACAACAACCAAUCAUGUCCCGUUGCUUGAAAGAAAAAAAACUCAAAAAAAUGGGUGAUCGAAGGUUAGCGUCUGGUUAAGUUCUAGUAGGGGCUUUGCUUAACCGGACACAUCAGUUGGUAACCAAAAUUUGGCGUGAUAAGUUAGUGUAUUUAGAAUUAUCUCUCUCUUAACAUGAUUGCAACAUAUAAACAUGUAACUUUGGCCGGUCGUCGUUGUAAGCAUGCUAAAUUUCUUGCAUCCGAGUUUGAAUUUCCUUAAUACAGCACACGUGAUUUAGUCAUUGGGCUUAUGUGUGCCAAGAUAUGAAUGUGGGCGAAUUGUACCAAAUACGGCGGGCCCAAUUGUAACAAGAACCCUUUGCCCUCGCGAAUCAUCAUCAAUCAUAUAUCAUCCAUCUCCGUCUCGCUUUCUCUAUACCCACUGCUGCUCCUGCCGAACGGCCAAGACUGUUCCCCUUUAUCCGUUUCAGAAUUCCAGAGCUCCGCCGAGGAACACAAAAGAUGUCACCGGCUCCACUUGUUCAGCAGGACGCCGCCGCCGCCGACGAGGUCUCCUCCGUCGAGCAGCUUCUCAAGAGCUCUAAUCCGGUAAAGCUCUUCCCUUUUCCCUUUUUUGUGGGGAUUAUAUAAUUUGUUUUCAUUUUCCGUUUUUGUUUAUUUACUAAGUUUUGAAUGUUGGACUGGUGUUAUUGGCAGAACAAGGAGGAAGACGAAGUGGUGGUCGAGGACGUGAAGGACGACAAUGACGAGGACGAGGACGAUGAGGACGAUGACGAGGACGACGAUGAUAAGGAAGACGGCGCUCAAGGUUGCUCUUUUUUCCUUCUUGUCUUUUCAAUUUUACGGCAUAUUCGUCAUUUGGUUUCUGCUGUUUAUUUGUUCUCUGUGCUUCCUGAAUGUUCCCUGUUGCCUGGAGUUUUGGAUUUGUUACGAAUAUUAGGAGCACGCAGAGGAUGAAAAGUUCAGAUUUUUAUAAAGGCUAUGGAAAUAUUGAGAGUUUAAAAGUUUUCUUGGCUGAUUUUGAUGUUAGUUUUUGAGAUGUUUUCGACCCAAAACGUAGAUGCAUGAUUUUUUGUUCAUUUGUGCUAAUGUUUCUAGGAUUCAUAUAGCCCACUUAGGCCCCGUUUGGGAUUGAGGUGAUUUAAAAAAAAGCCACUGUGAAAAAAAGCUGAGGGUCAUUUUUGUGUUUGGUAAACUGAAAAAAAAGGGCUUAUUUUGGAAGCUGCUGUGAGAAUAAGCUGAAAAUCAAAGGAAAAGCUGAAGCUGCUAUUUGCUGCUUUGAAAAAAAGCCAGUUUUUUCAAAGCACAUGGAGCUACAGUGCUCCUUUAAUGAAAAGACACACUAUCAUCCUGCUUUUUUUUCCAAAAGCACUUUCACAAAAAAGUUUACCAAACACUCUACUGGCUUUAUUUCACGGCCGCUUAUUCUCACAGCACAGCCGCUUAUUCUCACAGCAGUUUUUUUUCAAAGCACAGCAAUACCAAACCAGCCCUUAGUGGGAUAAGGCUUGGUUGUUGCCGUUGUUGUUGUUUUUGACACGAAGUGUAGUUCAGUUUGUUCUGAACUAUAAAGAUUCAAACUGUUUUCGUUCGUUUAUGCUACGGUUUCUUUGUGAGCCUGAUUUUUUUUGUGUUUGAUUACAAUGAGUUUGUGUUAUUUAUGUUGUCCUUAAAGUGAUCUUGAUUAGACGAUGAUGAACAGGUGGAAGUGGGGCUUCGAAGCAGAGUAGAAGUGAGAAGAAGAGUCGAAAGGCUAUGUUGAAGCUUGGGAUGAAGCCUGUUACCGGCGUUAGCAGGGUUACCAUCAAAAGGACCAAAAACGUAAGUUGAUGUUUGGUUUCCAGUUGGUGCAAUUGGGAUAUUGUUGUAUGAUGCUCGAUAUUCAUUGUUUGUUUGCUAUUUCUUGGUGUUUCAGAUACUAUUUUUCAUCUCGAAACCUGAUGUGUUCAAGAGUCCAAACUCUGACACCUAUGUCCUAUUUGGCGAGGCCAAGAUCGAGGAUUUGAGCUCCCAGCUUCAGACACAGGCUGCUCAGCAGUUCAGGAUGCCAGACAUGAGUUCUGUGACGGGGAAACCAGAGAUUUCGGCAGCAGCUGCUGGAGCUCAGGAUGAAGAGGAGGAAGAGGUUGAUGAAACCGGGGUGGAGCCUAGGGACAUUGAUUUGGUCAUGACACAGGCUGGGGUAUCGAGAAGCAAGGCCGUCAAGGCGCUCAAGACUCACAGCGGGGACAUUGUCAGCGCUAUCAUGGAGCUCACCACAUAAUUGGCCAAUGUCAACAGUUUUUGUCAAGCUCAUUGUUUACUUGAUGAGUGUUUUGAAUCAGUGUCGUGUCGGUCAUUGGUUUUUGUAGCUCAAUCGGACGCCCGUCUAUGUGUAUCUGGAUUGUGCUUCUCUAUUCUUGUGGAGACUCAAAACAUUGGCAGUGAUGGCUUUCAGGUUUUCUGAUGAACUUCACUCCUGAGUCAUGAGUUUUUAAAGUUUCUAAUUCAUCUUUUAAUUAGAGACGAGAUUUGACUACCUAGUACUAAUGAUACCAACAGGAUCCUCUCCGGAUUCUUUUGGUGGGGAUCCUGGAGAUUCGUAAAUCGUAUUUGUUCAUCGUACAUCGUACAAUCAGUUUUUGUUAGGUAUUAUUUGUAUUUAAUUUUAAAUAAAAAUAUUUAAAAUGAUUUCUAACCGCACAAUGUACGAUGAACGAAUAUGAUUCACGGAUUUUCAGGAUCCUCAUAAAAAGGAUCCGGAUUCCUAGUAAUAUUCUUAUUUGUUUGUAAGUGGGAGGAGGUAUUAGGUUUGACGACAAGCUUAAAACUUGUUGAUCAAAUCUCAUAUCUUAUUAAACAGUGUCUGUAGGAUAACAUGGUUUAUGUUGUCAUAUAGUAUUACUCUUAGGUGAUAUUCAUUUUUACUUGUAAAUGAAGAGUUUUAAGUUUGUUUGUCGUAAUAAACUUUUACCAAAAACAAGAAUCAAUAAACAAAAAACAAGUAAACACAACAUGGUGGUCCAAUGGUUUGGACGAAUUCCAGGACCAUAUAUCAAAUGGCAUGUUCUAAGUUCAAUCUUUGUUGUUGAUGAAUCAUAUGAUGGUGUUCAUGAGAGGAUAAAAUUCUCUGUGAGUCUUUCCAACCACCGACAAUAUAAACUGUUGUGAUGAAGCCACUAGCUGAUCCUAUUUUACGAGAAGAAUAAACCAAAACGAGUGGUGAACUGCAGAAUAAAAAAUGAGUGCAUUUUCCAUCGGAAAAAUAUUGCAAGAGAUUUAAUGAUUGGGCUUGGUGGUGCCGCCAAAAACUAGCGGGCCCACUCAGAAACCGAAACCCUUUGCCCUCGCGAGUCAUCGUCUCUCUAUACGCCGCUGCGUCUGCGUUACGAAUUUGCUAAGACAUCAUAUUUUUAUCCGUUUCAGAGCUUCUAGUCUCCGCCGACAAACCCGAAACAUGUCACCGGCUCCACUGGUUGAGCCCGAAGCCGUCGCCGCCGAAGAGGUUGUCUCCGGCGACCAGCUUCUCAAGAACUCUAAUCAGGUAAAGCUCCUCCCUUUGUUUAAAGUACCCAUUUUUUGUUUGGUCUAUAUAUGUUUCGAUUUCCGAGCUGCUACUGUUGUCAGACCAAGGAAGAAGAGGAAGUCGUGGUCGAGGACGUCAAGGACGACGACAAGGACGAGGACGAGGACGAUGAGGACGACGAUGAUGACGACGAUGAUGACAAGGAAGACGGCGGUCAAGGUUUGUCCUUUUUUUUUUUUGCUGUUCUUAUCCUUUCGAUUGCUUGGAGUUUUGGAUUUUCCAUGGAUGUCUUUGCGUUUUUUAAGGGCAUGUUUGAUUGGUAGGAGCAUAUAGAGGGUGAAAAUAUUAGACUUUUGCAAAAGCUAUGGAAAUAAUGAGAGCAUAACAGGUAGCUCGAGUGAUUUUGAUGUUAAUUUUGAAGUGUUUUCGGUAGAACCCAAAAGCCGAAUCGUAGUUCUGUUUGUUGUAAACUAUAAAGAUUCAAACUUUUUCAUUCAUUUAUACAGUAUUUUUUGCUGCUCAAUCCCAAUGAGUAUGUAUUAUAACAGGUGGAAAUGAGUCAUCGAAACAGAGCAGAAGCGAGAAGAAGAGUCGGAAGGCAAUGCUGAAGCUGGGUAUGAAGCCUGUUACUGGUGUUAGCAGGGUUACAAUCAAGAAGACCAAAAACGUAAGUUGCUGUCUGAUUUCCGGUUUGUGAAGUUGAGAUAUGGUUAUGGGACGGUCGAUGUUGAUUGGUUGUUCUUUUUUUGUGUGUUUCAGAUGCUGUUUGUUAUAUCGAAACCCGAUGCCUUCAAGAGUCCAAACUCCGAUACCUAUGUGAUAUUUGGCGAGGCCAAGAUUGAGGAUUUGAGCUCUCAGCUGCAGACACAAGCUGCCCAGCAGUUCAGGAUGCCGGACAUGAGUUCUGUGAUGGGGAAACCAGAGAUUUCUGGAGCAGCUGCCGGACCUCAGGCAGAUGAAGAAGAGGAAGAGGUUGAUGAAACCGGGGUGGAACCUAAGGACAUUGAUUUGGUCAUGACACAGGCCGGGGUGUCAAGGAGCAAAGCUGUCAAGGCUCUCAAGACUCACAGCGGGGACAUUGUCAGCGCCAUCAUGGAGCUCACCACUUAAUUUGUUAUCCUCGUGCUCGUUGUCAGUUGAUGAUGAGUUUUUUUGAGUCUGUCGGUCGUUAGCUAUUGUUGUCCAAACGGACGCUCGUCUAUGUGUGGAUUUAUGGUGCUUUUCUUUUCUUUUGUGGACUCAAAGACAUUGGUAGUGAGGUCUGCUGGUUUGCUGAUGCGCCUUCGCUCCUAUGUCAUGAGUUUUUAAGGUUUCUAUUUCGUCUUUUAAUUCUUCCACAUUAGAGUUGUCUCCUGCAAUUUGCUCGAUCUCGCUUUGCUUUGUCAAUGACAUAGAUCGAACCCUGGGGUUGUUUGGCAGUGAGUCUUAGUGCUCGUUUAGAUGUGCUUUUUAAAUGAUUGAAAACGUUUCUGAUGAAAAUGUUUUUAGAACAAAUCAUUUGUAAAAAUACAAGUAAAUUCUGAAAAUGCACUUAAAUGCUUCUUACAGAAAGCACUUUAAGUGCUUUUGAAAUCAAAAAUCACCAUCUCUAAAAGCGUUAUCAGUCAUUUUAAAAGCACUAUUUUGUGGAGGACGUGGAAUCGAUGCCCUAAAAGGAGCGACAUGUGCAAGAUUAAUUCACCCUAACAACAUGUGCGAAUGAACGUGUAAUGAAAUGCAUGCAUGCAUCCAUGCACCUGCCCACACACUGUCGAAGACUUGAUCGUAAUUACAUAAUUGUAGAACACAUACGUUCCGAAAUAUUCAAAUUAAGUUCACAAACUUUGUACAAAAAUAUCGCAUCCAGAGUCAUUUAGUUUGGAAAUAAGCAAAAGAGGAAAGAGGAAUCAUCCACCACCCAGGAAGGGAUGUUUUCUUUCCAGCAUCAGGUUCCUCACUUCUGCCCCCAAACCUCCUCCUUCAUGACAUGUUCCCAAUCCGAGGAAGAGCUAUCGUACCAACCUGCCGGAAGCAGAUUCCCAGGCCUGUUGAUCUUCUGAUUAUCUGUCGGUGGACCGCCCAAGAACAGAUGGAAUUCCUUAGCAGCCACCAUAUUAUCUUCACUACUGCCAGCUUCAUGACUCUGCAAAAUAGGUUGCUCCUUCAGUUCUGAACCUUCACCCUCCGAUGUCUUGCUAAUAAACGGCCAGGGGUUUCUCAUACCAGCAUACCCAAGCCCACCAGUUUCCGGCAGUUGCUGCCCUUCUGAAUGCAUGUAAGAGUUGUCAAUCCGGGAUUUAAGGAUCUGAAGCCUCGACAUAACAGAAUCCUCACAGUCGUUUCCCUCGUCGGUUGUGCUAGAAUGAGUAGAAUCCUGGAUGUUGAACUCGGGCAUUAAGCUAUAACUCGUGCUAGGUGCAACUGCAGAUAUCUUGGGGUCUGGAAGAUGUUGCCCUUCAGUAUGCAAGUCAGCGUAGUUUUCAAUCCGGGAUUUGAGGAUAUGAAGUCUGGACAGAACAGAAGCCUCGCAAUCGUUUGAUUGGCUGGUAGUGAUUGACAUGGAAGAAUCCUGGAAGUUGAACUCAGGUCCCAAGAAAUCACUUGCGUUGGGUGCAAUUACGUCAAUCUUGGGUUCAAGACACACAUCGGAGCUGGAUGAUUCCUCCAUAUUGGCAGAACUAAUGAAUUUCGAUUUCUCAACCCGGUCUCUUAUGAUAUGAAAUCUGGCCAUAACAGAAGCCUCGUCAUAAUCAUCUGUUAUCCCAACUGUAUCUGAUGCAGGAGAAUCCUGAAUGGAAAUACCAUGUGAUGAUGAGCUACCAUUUACUUCAGAUGGAAUAUUAUCACCCUUGUUUGGUUCAGAAACCUUGGAGCUGGAUUCGCCCCCAUUGGCAGCACCAAUCAAAUUUGAGUUCUCAAUACGGUCCCUUAAGAUACGAAAUCUGGCCAAUACAUCAUCUUCCUGGCUUAAUACAGGUAAAUCCUGGAGACUUGAAAUUGGACAAUCAUGAGCAUCAGGCGUCAAUGGGUUAACUGGGUUUGAAUCAGGGGAAACCUCAGACAUUGAUUGCUUCAUCAUAUCUGCAUUAUAUUCAAAGCCGUCAGAAACACAAUCAUAAAAUAAAGAUAAGAUCAAAGUUUCUUGUUUAUAGGUUAUAAAACUAUGGCAGUAAUGUAAGAGCAUUAACCUUUGGAUUUCUCUGCCUUGCACUUAUCCAUUUCUAUCUUUGUACGAUUAAAACGAGCUUUGUAAUUAAUGGAACAUAAUACAGCUUCAGCCUCGAGCCAUAGGUCCUUGUACAAGAGGGCUUGAGGGUCUGUUUCUUCAGCAUGAAAAUUCUCACUAAGAAUCUUCUUUAUAGCCUACAAAACCAAGGUCCAUGGCAAUAACUAACUAAUUUUUUGUACUUCCUCAUCCCUCAACGGCAAGAAAUAUAACUUGACAUUUUACUUUAUCAAGCUAGGUAUAGGGGUACCUGAGUCAUUUUAUCUUCUUUCGCCAUGUUUUUGUCACUUUUCACAGAAACAGAACCUACAACUUUAUCCUGAAUUUUAGAGGCAGAUGCCAAUGGAGCCCUGUCUGCAUUCACAACCUGAAGAAAUUAUUCAGCCAAGCAAAACAUUAUUAUAGAGUAUGAGGUGGUAAACUCUCCGCUAUUCAUUUGAAAAUGAAGUCCAAAAUAAGAUUCCAAAAACUUAAGCAGCAUACCUUGUUAUGCUCUGUAAACUCUCCGUUACACUGAGAAGUGUUUUGCAGGAACAAUGGCAUUUCCUGUGUCGGUGACAAUUUCUCACCAUCCUUUGAUAUGCAGAUAUGCAGGUUAUUGAUCACAGCUUUUAUGGUCUCAAUAUCAUUUUUCUUCAAUUGAACCAAGCCAUAUGAACAAUUACUAAGCAGCAAUUCUGACAAGUUAUUCAUUGUAUCAACCAGCAUCUGUGCACCCACUUUUGGCAUAGAAUCUUCCCCAUCAGAUUUGGAAAGCUUAGUAGGUGCAUCCUCCACAGACGAACACAAUAUAUUUUCUACAGCAUGAGAAGGCACAUGCACCGAACCAUAUUCCAUAGUGUCACUGACAUUCAGUUUAAAAUCUGGACCACAAGUCAAUGUUGUUUUCUUUAUUUCCGUUGCUAAUCCGUCUUCUCCACCACAACCUUGUUCCAUUGUAUGAGAAUGGCCAAAGAGACCAAAGGAAUUUUCCCCACUCCCUGAUUUAUGGAGGACAUUUCUGUAACUUUGAGGUCCUCUACCAUGGCUUGUUUCUGAGUUAUAAGUGGUCUUCGCGGUAUCAUCUAACUUAUGUUCUCCAAAAGCUGAGUUUUCAACUGAAUAUCUCUUCAAAGGAAGGGUCACACCCUUUUCCAGCCACCCAAGAUCAUGGUAUUCAACGGUGUUCUUGAUAGGCUUUUGGGAGGAAACAUCUUCCGCAGCCUUUAGUGGAAACAUCAGUGGCAUUGGAAAAUGCAAACCAUUGUAGUCCUCUAGUUUCUUUAACUGUUCUGGAACCCCUUCUUCAGAGGAUUCAAAUGGAGAAAACCGACUACCAGGAACUCCUUUCCAGCAAGGCGAGUCCACAGCUGGAUUAUUAGGAUCUACAUUGUCAGAUGAACUCGGAAAACAAUUGACGGUUUCAUUUGUAUUAACUGACACAUUAAAACCACCAGGACUAACAUGAGGAUUUUCAAGUCCAGACUUCGCUUUAAACACAUGAUCCCAUGGACUCUUGUUGAGACUUCUAUUAUUUAACAGCUCUUCAUUUCUUUUUGCAAAGAAGCUAUCAUUUAUUCCAAGAAGACUGUCAAAUUGGCUUGAACUGAAACGACAGUUGCCUUCAGAAACUUGUAGCAGACGAGACUCUUGUACACUAGAGGGAUAAUAAUCAUCACGAUCUGUCUCAGCAGCAUCACUUCUGAAAUUCAACCUUUUGAACAGACCUAUCUCUGGUUCUGAAGAUUUAGUGCCAAUAGCUGGUAUUCUAGUGGCAAAGGCAGAAGAAGACUUUGAAGUGGACGAAAUAUCAUCCAUACUAGCAUCAUGCUGUUGUUGCUCAGAGAACACACUGUACGGUGUUUUACAGUUUGUGGUGUUCGUGAUAAAUUGUGAGGAUGAUGCCUUAGGAUGGGUUUCUGGAACUGCUGAAAAGGAUCCCGUGACAGAUUUUGAAAAGUCAGCAGGGAUGAAUUUGGAAUUUUUCGCCACAAAGGAUUUAUCACCUAAGUGCUCUGCACUUACAGAUCCACCAAGCUUUUCCCAACCCUGAAUAUUGAUGCCAUGUGAUGCUUCUUCACAUGAGGGGUCUGCACAUUAUACAGAUAGUUAGGGGAAAAUAGAGUAGGGUUGCAUAACAAACAGGAAGUGAACCAAAAAAAUGAAAACAAAAGUAGUUGCACUGGAAAAAUUCCAUAGGCGCAUAACUUGGGGAAGACAUACCUUGGUUCAUGUAAUUCUUGUAAAGUGAUGAGCCGGAAACAUCAGUCUUCUUUGAGCAGAAAUUUCCAUUAAAGUCUCCCUGUUUACCCUGCUCCCGCUCCCACUCCCACAAGCCACCCCACUGGGUAGUAUACUUUGGAUCAGAAGGGUUUUGAGUGUAAUCCUUGUGAGAGGAGCUAUCCAAGGGAGCAAAAUGAGUACUAGACAGCCAAUCAUAACUAGGCUGACGAGGAACCACCAUGGGGGAACACUCGGAACUGUUGAGGUUAGAUAAGAGGGAUAAUAAGGUUUGGCCUCAACAAAACUAGUUGCAGCAGCAUCGAAGGAUUGAUCGUACUUAAACGUACUGGGUGAAGUGGUGGUAAUAGUGUUCAAAGGAGGCAAGUUUGUAUUGGAUGGUUCAACAGUCUGCAGGCCUGCAUAUCCAUACGCAUUCGAUGGAGGAAUUGAAUUGAGAUCUGGGGUGGGAUUGGCAAAGAAAUUAGAAGGGGUAGUGGUCGGGUGAGAAGGAAGCCAAUUGUGCAAAGAAGAAUUCAUGGGGGCAACAUAAGGUGGCUCAGUCACAUCAAGUGAGCUUGACAUGGGUUUUGGCACAGGCCGAUCGACAGUAAAAGGUGGCGCUAAAGCCGAUAAACUUGAAGGCGAUGAUGAUGAAUAUGGAUAAGAUCCUCCAAUUCCAUAAGGAACAAAUCCCGCCAUUCUUAGACUUUGGUUCUACACACAAAUUAAAGUAAAUUGAUCAAGACCCGCUAAAAUUAACAUCAACUAAGAAAUACUGAAAUAAAAAGGUCAACCAGAGCUAAAAUUUCCUAAAACAUGAACACUCACGACAAAAAUCAAAACUUUAUGAAGAACCCAUUUGUCAAACACCAUAAAGAUUAUCAAAUAACAACGAAAUUAUUAUGAUCUUUGAGAAUCGUGCGAAAAAAAUGAAAGAAUUGGUGAUGCUGCUUACAAUAUGAUGACGAUCAGAGCAUCCGUUUUCAGCAAUCGCCCAAUUAACUGGGUAAAACAAGGAGGAAAUAAAAGCACAAAAGCUGUAAAAUUUACAAAACAGUAGUAUUCCCUUGAAUAUGUAUAUAUAUAGUUCUCUUGCUUAACUAUAUCCUACAGCUACAUCAAUAAGAAAACCCAGAUUACAGAAUAUGGCAAGAACAGCAAAAUCAUAAACCAAUCUGGAAAUUAUUCAAGAAAUCUGAGAUUUUGAAUCAAUUGGGGAGAAAUUCAUACCAGAGGAGUGACGAGUGAGGGAGGAGAGAGAGACAGAGAGAGAGGCAGAGAUUGGUGGCAGAGUGUCCUCCGGGUCUUCACCGUCCAAGAGAAGCCAGGAAAAGGAGAAUUUUGGGUUCAAAAGUCACUCUCUUUGGUUUUGGCCUUUGAUUUACGCUUAUCUACAAAGAAACCCCUCUCAUUUCGAAGAAAUGAUUUACCUCCCCCUACUUUUGACAAUUAAUUUCUCUUCCCCUCAACUUGUAUUCAUCUUGAGUGUAUUUUUUCUCACAUCCUAAAAGUGAGGUGAUGCUCACUCUCUUUGUUUGUUAUCGUUAAAUUAAUUUGUUUUAAUCGAUCUAAUAUAUGAAUAUUAAAAUUUAAACUAAUUUAACGAUAAUCAGUAGGGGUGAUGCUUACCCCUUACUUUAGGAGGUGGGCAAAAGUAUUCCCUCCAUUUUUUUUUCUAAAUCUGGCUAAAGAUUUAACAUUAACCUUCUGCGUUUCACAUCUUAAGUUUGAUUAUUCUACUCUCAAUAUUGUUUGUAUAAACAAAGUACAAUGUUCAACUUUUAUGUUUGCAAAUUGUGAAUCAUAAAAGAAAGAUUAUGGACUUGUAUGUAUGAAUCUAGGUCUUAAAAUUGAAGUAAUUCUUUAAUGAAGAUCCUAAUAUUGUUUUGUCGACAAAUCAAUUCAUACUUAUAUUAUAAUGCAUGUAUUUUUCUUUAAUUUUUUUUAUACACCUUAUAAAUUUUUGGUUUACUCAUAUCAUAACAUGUAAAUUAGUAAUAUCAUAUAACAAAUUUUCAUUACGAAGAAUAUUAAUGCAUGAGACCCUAGUUUAAACAGUUAUAAAUAAGGAAAAAACUUAACCGCAUGGUUGGUCAAAAUACUUUUAAAACCAUGAGACUCAUUAUAUUUUAAUUUUGCACCAGUUUUAUAUUUCUCUAGUACGAUAUGUGAGUUGUCAUAAUCAUGCAAUCAUUUUCAGUGAUAGACUUUAUUAUCACGAGCAAAGGAGUUGUAAAUGAACCAAAAGAGGGUCUGAGAGUGUGAGUUAUUGGGUGGGACAACUCUCAGAGAAAAUGCAGUGCAUCUUCUUCAACCAUCUAUCAUGACUUGUUUCUAUCGUUUGUAACUAAUUGUCGAGUGAGAAAAAGUUUAAAGAUAGCUCAAACUAAUUAGCUACAAAACCAAAUUUGAACAUGUCACAAAAUAUAAUUUGUCUUCUCAAAAUUCAACUCUAUUUAUAAUUAUUUAAUUAACUACUGUUUUAGUCAAGUCGUUGGAAAAUCUUCAAGAUUAAAUGUCCACACCGACAGCUUUCUCUAUUAUUUUUUAUGAUUCAAACUUGUGAAUGGUUAGACCGACCAAGCAAGCAGUCGGAGGCAUGGAGUGUUUGUGGUUUUGUUCUUCACAUAACAUAUAUACAACUAGGGCUGGAAAAAAAUCCCAAAAAUCCCAAACCAAACCGAAAAAUUCCCGAAACCAAACCGAAAAAAUCCCAAACCGAAAUUCCCGAAAAUUUCGGUACCCAAUACCGAACCGAUCCCGAAAUUUCGGUACGGGAAUCGGUCUCAAGUUUUUGGGAUUUUGGUAUUCCCAAACCGAACCGAAAAAUAUAUAUAUAUAUAUUAUUUAAUUUUUAAAUAUAUAUUUAGAUCAACAGAGUCCAUAGAAAAUGAAGGCUUCAAUAGUUGCACAUAUUUCUAUAUGAAUGAUUUAAAUCGACAGAGUCUUGCAAUUGUAGCAUCUACAUUUGAAUCCAGAUUGGCAGUCUUGCAAUUGUAGCAUCUACAUUUAAAUUAACAUAGUCUUGCAAUUGGCACAUAUUGCAAUGGGUUUCUUAGCAUAUUGCAGCCCAAAAGUGUUAAAAUGUUCAAUUUUAGCCCAAAAACAUAAUAUUUAGUCCAAAAGCCCAAAAGCCCAAAAUCAUUUCGGGAUUCCCGAUUUGUCCCGAAAUCCCGAAACUAUUUCGGGAUUCCCGAAAAUUGGGAUUCCCGAAAAUUUGGUUUGGGAUCGGUAUUGAAAUUGGGAUUCCCGAAAUUUUUGGUUUGGGAAUCGGGACAAGGGUUUCGGUAUGGGAUCCCAUACCGAACCACCCCUAUAUACAACAACAACAACAACAAAGUCUUUUCCCACUAAGUGGGGUCGGCUAUAUGAAUCCUAGAACGCCAUUGCACUCGGUUUUGUGUCAUGUCCUCCGUUAGAUCCAAGUACUCAGUCUUUUCUUAGGGUCUCUUCCAAAGUUUUCUUAGGUCUUCCUCUACCCCUUCGGCCCUGAACCUCUAUCCCGUAGUCACAUCUUCGAACUGAAGCGUCAGUAGGCCUUCUUUGCACAUGUCCAAACCCCUUUUGUGUACGUGUUGGUGCUUCACCGCCCAACAUUCUGUGCCAUACAGCAUCGCCGGCCUUAUUGCCGUCCUAUAAAAUUUUCCCUUGAGCUUUAGUGGCCUACGACGGUCACCCAACACGCCGGAUGCACUCUUCCACUUCAUCCAUCCAACUUGUAUUCUAUGGUUGAGAUCUCCAUCUAAUUCUCCGCUCUUUUGCAAGAUAUAGAUCCUAGGUAGCGAAAACGGUCGCUCUUUGGUAUUUCCUGAUCUCCGAUCCUCACCCCUAACUCAUUUUGGCCUCCAUUUGCACUGAACUUGCACUCCAUAUAUUCUGUCUUUAAUCGGCUUAGGCAAAGACCUUUAGAUUCCAACACUUCUCUCCAAAGGCUAAGCUUCGCAUUUACCCCUCCUGAGUUUCAUCUAUCAACACUAUAUCGUUUGCGAAAAGCAUACACCAAGGAAUAUCAUCUUGAACAUGGAUCAUCAAUCAUAAAAUUUGUCACCUUUUGUUCCGUCCCAUCAUCAGGGUUUUUUUUUAAUUUUUAAUUUUAUUUUUUUAUAUUAUAAGUUUGAACAAUUAAACUGAAGACUCACAAAUGUCCCGAUUAAAAAAUGUGACUAUGAGACGGAGGUCCAGGACAAAAAAGAUAAAAGAAGACCUAGGAACACUUGGUUAGAAACUUUAAGAAAAUAUAUAGUAUUUGGAGCUAACGAAAGAUAUGACGCAAAUUCAAACGCUGUGGAGUUCUAGUAUUUGUACGGCCGAUCGCAUUUAAUGGGAUAAGUUUUUUGUUUUAUAUUAUAGGUUAUAUGUCAUUUGUCAGUUAAGAUAUUGAUGCAGUGAAGCAACUAUACCUAAUAAUUGCUAAAGAACUUAGAUUUAUGUCUAAUUUUAUCAAAUUGUUUUCUUGCAUUAGUUUAUUUGUUUACCAAUUUUAUUAUAAUUUAAACGAUAUUUGUCUCAAAGCAUUUUUACUGAUAACGGGCUAUAUUCCAUUGACUCAGCUUGAGCCUUGAUCUGCAAUCAAUAGAAUAUUAAUAAUCUUAAAUCAGGCAAUUAAUUAGUUAAUCAUCAUUUGAUCUCUUUUACGGAUACAAAAGAGACUAAUUAAUCAACAAAAACCUGCUGCCUGCAAUAUAAAACUUGCAUAAUAUAUGAUCCAAGAUUACAUAUGCAUGUAUGACUAAUUACGCGAUAAAUUAAACUAAUAGAAGAUUACUGCAGAAAACAGAAUUUCAUAUACAUACACCGUUUUCAUGGAAGCAUACUGCAGCAUCCAAAAAUGAAUACGGAUAAAGUAACCAAAUAAAGAAGAUAUCAAUGAAAGACGUGCAAAUUAAGCAACCAAUUAGAGAAAGAAAGCCGCCCAAUCAAUCUCAGGAGUGUAUCCAUCAGUGAUGUACACUAGCUUAAAAAUAUAGAUAAAAGGAAGAAGCAGCGUCGUGAGUGGAGGCCGGCCGAGAAGCUUGACGAAGAUUAUUCACGAGACCACGAAAACUGGUACUGUGCCGCCUUGGCGGUACGAGCUGCUCCGUCAUCCUCGCAAGCGCUGCUGUGUACAACCCUAGCAGCUCUGCAACAAUGCCUACCCUUAUCAUCCCUUCUUUUAUGAUUAAUUUUCUCACCCCCACAAAUUGUAGAGCCUCCGUUCAAGAGAGCGAGAGCGGCUACUGAGGGAGAGGUAGAGAGAGGUGUUGAUUGGUAGGUAGCUAUAUAGUUAGCAAUUACCGCGCCUUCAAAGCUUUGUUUCAAAGUCGUAGAUGGUUGGUGACUUUACAUAUACCUUUUAGUUGUUGUAACGUGUGGGUUUAUUUAGCCAAAUUUGAUUUUAAAGGUAAUGGAUAUCAGGUGAGGUGACGGCAAAAAGUGCAUAUAAAUCCAUGUAGAUUAUGCAUACAGAUUAUAUUUUAUCUCUGGUUGGAUUUUUUCAACUUUCUAGUAUCUUCUAUUUAUUUUCCGAUCGAGUUAGGCGUAAUGAGGAUUGUGGACGAAAAUUACCAUAUGGAGAGACUUCUUCACCCAGAUUACGUACACGGUAAUCACAUUUCUGGUCAGCUUAGGCGUAAAUUGUAAUGAUUAAAGUGGUAUUAAUCACGUUUUGUUUGCCUGGUUAUAAGACUUGUGUUUGUACUCACCUCACCACUUUUUGUUGGCUGAUGUGGCAAGAACCCAGUGGAGGGUUUUGGAUGGAUGUGCGUGAAGUGGCUUAAAAGUUAGAAAAGUUUUGCGUACUAACCAUAUUGUUAUGCUUGAGAAUUCGCAUCAAAUCAACAGGGGAAAAUGAGGAAAAUGCCAUGUGGUUCUGCUUUAUGUUGCUUCCCCACAAGUAUCUAUCUAACUUAACAUAUGUGAUUUUCGUGCAUUUGUACAUGCAUGCAUAUUUCAUUUUAUUUAGGUAGUAUUACAAUUCUGAAUUGCAGUAAAUUGGUAACUAUAUGGGCACAUGAUCAUCAUGCUGACCCUACCAAAGAGUUAACAAGGAAUAAACUUGUCAAAUCCUGCCAAAUAAUUUUGAAUAUAAAGAGAAAGAGGGGAUAGAUAAGACCAGUACCCAAUUUCUUUUGACUACCAAAGUGAGAGGAUAUUGAUCAAUGGAGGAAGUCUGGUUUACAAACCACUACGGUGAGAUUUUUACAUAUCGAUUUGACUCGGUCUUCUUAUUUUGGGUGUGUUAUCACGAGUAUAUACUUAUUUUAACUCUCUCUCAAGUAGAGGGAUAGCUAAGUUUUAGCAGUAAUUAAACAAUACCUGCUUCUAUUGGUAUUUGGCAGAUGAUUAAAUUCCACAUAACUAAAGUACAUAGUAGUUAUCUAAUCCAAAUUACAACAAGAGGAAGGCAGCAAGCAUUAUCUUCCUUUACAUUUUCUUAUCGAUCGUUGUAUAUAAUCAAUUAACGUUGAGCUUCAGCCUUGAGGGUAAUGAAUAGGACCUAUUGAAGACUUUCUUCCAUGGAGUCCAUGCUUUCCAGCUCAAAGAUCGAACCCUAAUCAGAGCCAAAGAAGGCUUUGUGUAUUUACCACUUGAAGUCUUAUGAAUAGGAGAAGGAGGAGAGGAAGGUGGUGGUGUUG